AGUCCGCCUGCACCCGGGUGAAAUAAACAGCCAUGUUGCUCACACAAAGCCUGUUUGGUGGUCUCUUCACACGGACGUGCAUGAAAUUUGGUGCCGUGACUCGGAUCGGGGGACCUCCCUUGGGAGAUCAAUCCCCUGUCCUCCUGUUCUUUGCUCCACGAGAAAGAUCCACCUACGACCUCAGGUCCUCAGACUGACCAGCCCAAGGAACAUCUCACCAAUUUUAAAUCAGGAGCUUGCUACAUGUGCCAGAAAUCUGGCCACUGGGCCAAGGAAUGCCUGCAGCCCGGGAUUCCUCCUAAGCCGUGUCCCAUCUGUGUGGGACCCCACUGAAAAUCGGACUGUUCAACUCACCUGGCAGCCACUCCCAGAGCCCCUGGAACUCUGGCCCAAGGCUGACUGACUCCUUCCCAGAUCUUCUCGGCUUAGCGGCUGAAGACUGACACUGCUUGAUCGCCUCGGAAGCCCCCUAGACCAUCACAGACGCCGAGCUUCCGGUAACUCUCACAGUGGAAGGCAGGAAUGUCAGGCCUCUGAGCCCAAGCCAAGCCAUGGCAUCCCCUGUGAUUUGCACAUGUACGCCCAGAUGGCCUGAAGUAACUGAAGAAUCACAAAAGAAGUGAAUAUGCCCUGCCCCACCUUAACUGAUGACAUUCCACCACAAAAGAAGUGUAAAUGGCCAGUCCUUGCCUUAAGUGAUGACAUUACCUUGUGAAAGUCCUUUUCCUGGCUCAUCCUGGCUCAAAAAGCACCCCCACUGAGCACCUUGCGACCCCCACUGCUGCCUGCCAGAGAACAACCCCCCUUUGACUGUAAUUUUCCUUUACCUACCCAAAUCCUAUAAAACGGCCCCACCCCUAUCUCCCUUCACUGACUCUCUUUUCGGACUCAGUCCGCCUGCACCCGGGUGAAAUAAACAGCCAUGUUGCUCACACAAA
rnacentral:lncRNA from 1 species